AUAACGCAGCGCUAUGAUACACACAGGAAUGAGGUGUGUUACAUCAGACAGCUGGAAAGCCCUGCAGUGGGAAUGUCAGGAAUGAGGCAGCUGCCUCCCACUUAGCGCUUUAUCUAAACCGGUUACAUUACCACACAGCUAAACAACAUGUACAAUGUGUUUACACCUUUUUUUCUCUUACUGUAACAGGAAUUCAUCCAGGUAGUAAACCUUUAUGGAUACAUCUUCACUUUGUACUUUGUGUUAAUGAUUUGAAGUCAGUGACUCAGUAUAGUGAAGAGAUUGUAUUGGAAAUGACACCGUGACUGCGAGAAGUGACUUUUAAGGCAUUUGGUUUGGAUGUGAGCAGUUACUUCAGAAUUCACUCGGGAUCAUCAACACUGUGUACACAUUGUAUUCACUUGAACUCACACACACUGGCUCAGAUGGUCGCGGGAAAAGCAGGAGGUGGAUCGAGUUAAAGCUGUAUAUAUUCCUCGUAAGAACAAACUAUUUAAUCAGUGAAACCGAAAUCCUGGAUUAGCACAAACUCAUACCACAAAUUGUGGUCCUUACGCCAAGAUGAGGAUCAUAAUUCCAAAUAAGUCAAACUAUACAUGUCAUUCUCAAGACUGGUCUGAACAGUCAGUUCAAUCUGGAAGAUGUUAGAGAAGGUUUUGAGGCAUUUUGUUGAAUCCAAGCACUUUAGAAUUGAACCUGGUGCUGUCAUCAGCAGUCACAUCAUCAGGACAGCCGAGACAUCUCAGUUACACUGGCACUCAUACAUGCACAAGUUGAACUAGAGUGAUCUUGUUAAGAUUUAAAAAAACAGGACUUCCUUCACUGAGAAACCUUUUAUUCUAAGAAUCUAGAGUGCAAUUAUCCAGUUUGUUAUCCAUGAAAAAACAAAUUAAACAUUAACAAAUUCAUAUUAAUUUAUUUAUUAAUAAAAGUAAUUAAAUAAACGUGGAAUUGACUAUGA